CGGCAGCACGGGAGCAAUCCUGGUGGCGAGUGGCGAACGGGUGAGUAAUAUAUCGGAACGUGCCCAGUCGUGGGGGAUAACGUAGAGAAAUUUACGCUAAUACCGCAUACGAUCCAAGGAUGAAAGCGGGGGACUUCGCAAGAGGCCUCGCGCGAUUGGAGCGGCUGAUAUCAGAUUAGGUUGUUGGUGAGGUAAAAGCUCACCAAGCCGACGAUCUGUAGCUGGUUUGAGAGAACGACCAGCCACACUGGGACUGAGACACGGCCCAGACUCCUACGGGAGGCAGCAGUGGGGAAUUUUGGACAAUGGGCGAAAGCCUGAUCCAGCAAUGCCGCGUGCAGGAAGAAGGCCUUCGGGUUGUAAACUGCUUUUGUACGGAACGAAAAGGUCUGCCCUAAUACGGCGGGCCCAUGACGGUACCGUAAGAAUAAGCACCGGCUAACUACGUGCCAGCAGCCGCGGUAAUACGUAGGGUGCGAGCGUUAAUCGGAAUUACUGGGCGUAAAGCGUGCGCAGGCGGUGAUGUAAGACAGUUGUGAAAUCCCCGGGCUCAACCUGGGAAUUGCAUCUGUGACUGCAUCGCUAGAGUACGGUAGAGGGGGAUGGAAUUCCGCGUGUAGCAGUGAAAUGCGUAGAUAUGCGGAGGAACACCGAUGGCGAAGGCAAUCCCCUGGACCUGUACUGACGCUCAUGCACG
rnacentral:rRNA from 1 species